rnacentral:rRNA from 1 species
UACAGAGGGUGCGAGCGUUAAUCGGAAUUACUGGGCGUAAAGCGCACGUAGGCGGCCAACUAAGUCGGAUGUGAAAUCCCCGGGCUCAACCCGGGAACUGCGUCCGAGACUGGAAGGCUUGAAUCCGGGAGAGGGAUGUGGAAUUCCAGGUGUAGCGGUGAAAUGCGUAGAUAUCUGGAGGAACAUCGGUGGCGAAGGCGGCAUCCUGGACCGGUAUUGACGCUGAGGCGCGAAAGCCAGGGGAGCAAACGGG